rnacentral:tRNA from 1 species
GGGUAUAGCACAGUGGCAGAGUGCAUGUUUAGCAUGCACAAGGUCCUGGGUUCAAUCCCCAGUGCCUCCA